rnacentral:tRNA from 1 species
CCGUAGCUCAACUGGAUAGAGCAGCGGCCUUCUAAGCCGCAGGCUACAGGUUCGAUUCCUGUCGG